AUACAGUGUUCUUUCUGUUCCUUUUUGAGCAUUCAUGAGACUCAUUUGGCACAAACUUUGUGGUAUUUCAGUGUUGCCACCAUCAUUUCCAAUGCAUUGAAGCUGAAAUUCAGCUCCAUACAUAUUUCCCUGAUUGUAAUCCACCAAUUUGCUUAAUGUGCACUCCCGUAUGAGACACCAUUUUGUCAGACUGUCCCUCUGCUGUCAUCUGUCACACAACAACAGAGUUUAAUAGAAUAUUUAUGGGAAGGUUCAACCUCUCCUGCCAUACCACCAACAUCUGCCACUUAUGUCACGGGCCAUUAUAAAAUAGGAGGUAUUACUUUCAGAGCAGCCCUGGUAUAUGUACUGUACUGGGAGUAGGUAUUUCUUCUUUUGAAAGGCUGUGGAGAUACCAAACGUAAUAGUACAGUGCUGUAGCAGAAAUGCUAAGUCAGGGUCUGAAGUGGUGAUUGAGCACCUGGUGGGAAGGCAGGGCCAAGCCAGCGGAGCACAGCUGCAAGCAAUACACCUGAGUGACCGGAAGGGGUGGAACCAGGUUCCCAGACCUCAUUUAAGGGUUGGCAAUGGAGGUGAGGAUAUUUCUUGCUGGAGCUCCUUGCUUUCUUGAGGUCUUCUAAAGGAGGCAUCAAAAAAUAAAGAAGAGCUCAUGCCAUCUUUUGCUUUUAUUGCUGCAUAUCGUUCGUGUUCUGGAUGACAGCACAGAUUUAAGAAGGAACUUCAUACCACGGUGUGUUUUUCUCUGAAGUGCAAAAAAAUGAGUUUUGCACCCUCCAGCUCUUCAAGGUUGCAAGCAAACCUCCAGCAAGAACAGAACUUCUGCCUGGAACCCAACAUCUUUCACCAUUUUCCACUCUACAUGCCCUGUGGACUGAGCCUUCUCUAAGCUAUUUCCAGAGACAAGCAGCAAGUCUUGUCACAGGCUGUUCUCAUUGAGGUGAGCGUCACUUGAGGAGGAAAGGCACUGCAAACCAAGAUCUUCAUCUAAGCACAAGAUCUAGAUUUAACAGAAUGGAGGGUUAUUAUCAUUACAGCUACAGGAGAUGGACACUGUCUAAUUAAUAGGUAAGUCCCUUUCUUCAUUUACGACCACAUCAAAGGUCACAUUUCAGCUCCUUUUGCUCUUAUCUUGGAAUAGAAAAGGUUGAUUCAUACUCACCAAAGAGCAGGAUUUUCACUUAGAAAACAAUCUAACAACACGUUUAUUCACAAGUUUUCUACAGAUUAAUUGAACUGACAUGUUACAGUCUAGACCCACUUACUUCUACCAGAAAUAAUAACACUUCAGGCUAAUAUUACAUAUAGUAAUACCCCAGACCGUUAAUAAGCAUCACCUAAGAGAAAGCUCACCUUCAGGCUGAAUCCCAAACUGUGAUUUUCCUCUUUAUUAAUUAGCUUUUCCAAGUUAAACAAGGUCAGUACAUCUCCUUUUUGUCUCUCACUUGCCUGCCCCUAUAAUCUCCUUAUGUUUUGUUUCUUUUCUGAGCUACCAUCUCUUCCACACUGACAAAGACAUACAGUUUAUAUGGCUUCAGCCCCCUGUGGAAUCAUCUUCUUUUUCUUGCUGUGGCAAGAAAAGAUUAUUUAUUUCUGUUGGUUGCAAAGAUAUGUAUGAGAAGGAAAGACCUGGCUCUAUGACUAACCAAAAUUAAAAGUGCAGAAAGCUCAGCAAUAAUCUCUUUCCCAAAGUAGAAAGGAAUUUAUGAGAUGGAACUUGACCAUAUCUCUCAGUUGAGUGCCUGAUUCAGACCUUGGUCAAAAUUCCAGGUUUGAGAAGAACUGGGGAAGAGAAAGGUCAGAGCAUAUCCCCAGAACAAAAUAAUUUAGAUACAUUGAAAUUAAGGUCUCUCAUUACCAAAGGUCCAUAUACUUUUAGCUGGGCAAGGAACAUCAGCAUAAUUCACUUUUCCCAUCACGGAACGUAAUCUGACCUUUAGCCCAGCCUAUUAAGAAGAAUAGGAAGCCAUCUGCGUACCCCCAUUACAACUCCUGUGGCAAUACAACAGCAUUCCAUGUUGUGACAGUUUGAUGGUUCAGCCGAGGUAGUUUCCUCUACAGUGAUUUGAUUUCCAUAGGAGGAAAAGAAAGCAUGCCUCGAGAUUUCUGUCUCCAAAUUCCUUCCUCACACACACUCUCUGGGCAGUUCAAGCAUCUAUUAUAAAAUCAGAUUCACAAAAUUACCUCAAUUUUCUUAACAUUCUUCAUCCUUGGAUCUUAUCUUUGACAACUGAAAUUAAUCUGAGAAUUCUGUAAAACCUAUGUUUUAGUGUAGUUGUGAUGUACAGUGUUACUAAUGCAAUGUUAUGCUUUUCUCUUUGAAUCAUAACCACAUCAGUUGUCCAGCAUAAAUAGAGCAAUAUACAUGUGCCCUUCAUGUGUUCUUUGCAUAUAAGCAAGAAAAAUCCCAGGAAAUCUACCAAAUACAAGUAUGCAAACCAAAACAAAUGUGUCAUCACAACUUGCCAGGAGGCAUGCUCAUCUCCUUCGUAACACCACUCCUCAGUGUAUAGCCUCAGUGAGAAGUUAAAUUAGCAGAAGCUUUACCAUUUCUACUCUUAAAAUCCUUAAUGAGGGGUCAUGUGAAUUUUGAUGAAGGUCAGAGUAUUGUGGAUCUUCAUAUUGUAGAAAAAACACGAAAGAGGAGAAAAAAAAAGAGAAAAAAAAAGAGAAAAAAGAAGAGAAAGAAAGAAAAAAAAAGAAGAAAUUACAGCUGCUGUUUUUUCACAUCCUUCCUAAAAUAUAUGCAGGUUGUAUAUGAAAUCUAGAAAGGCCUUUUGCCUCAAAAGUAAAAUCUAAAAGCCAUUAAAAAUAAUGCAAAUCAUCAGACUAAACAGAAAACCGAAAUCAAUCUUUCUAUUCACUGUUUGAUUUGCCUCUCCUCCAGUCCAGAAGCCCAACUCGCAGGAUGUGGUUUUGUUUUUGUUUAACAUUAAAUGCUUCUCUUAUUUUUCUUUAGCAUACAAGGGGGGAAAGUAUCCAAAGAGGAACAGUUAAAGUAAAAACAUUCAUAUUUCAGUGUUUUUUCUCUAUGUGAUAUGAAGGGUGCUGUGAAAACAGACCAUAACACAGAGCUGAAAGGGGAAUUCAGCCAAAACAUCGCCUGCCCAUGUCUCUCACCUGCCCACUGCCUGGGGCAUCAGCAUGCAUGGCACCACCAUACAGUAACUCCAGUUCAGUGGGAUAAAGGAGAAGUAUAUCAUGGAUAUGUCUUAGGAAGAUAAUUGCUAAUCAGACAUCUCUUGCCUGUUGCCAUUUUCACCUAGUGAAUAAGGAUCCUUAUCACAUGACGGUAAUGCCUCUCUGUGAGGUGUGUGAUGUGGCAUUAGAGCAGGAGAACUUGUUCCUGAGAACCUUUGCUAGAAGAAGAUUUAGGGUGAUAUUCGUCCAAACUGACAAGAAGAGAUAGAUGUUCAAGGCACUGCAGUGGUGAGAAAGGCCUUCAAGAAUCACUGCACCUGUUGUGCACAUGUAUGUAUUUAAUUCUUCCUGCUUCCUCCUGGUGAUUUUCAGCCUUAGUCUACCUACAGCCAAAAUGAACAUUUUCAUCCUCCUGCAACUACUCACAAAAAUGAGGGAAAGGGAAUUUGCUUUUCUGAACAGCUGUAUUGGCUGUAUACAUGCCAAGCAACCUGCAAGUAGACAGAAGUACGAAAUGUAAGGAAGUAAGAAAGCAAGCAAAACGAACAACUUGAAUGAAUGCCACCUUUGUUCUUUUUUAAAUGCAUGUGAAGUCCUAACUCCAGUUUCACAACAUUCUGACAUAAGUAGUUUGCAUAAAGAAAACAGAAAGAAGGAAAUUUUGAGGCAGCCUAUUAACUUCUAAAGGUAAGGAUUGGACCUCACAAAGAAGGACACUUUCUCCUACUUGGCUUUAAUCUACAAGAAAAAAAAACUCCCGAAGAGGAAACUUUGCCACGGGAACAUUCAAUUUUCAAGUCCUUGAGGGGCACAAAGCUUGUAGUAUUGUGCAAUCAGAAGUGCUGGAGUGAACAAAAUGUUAUUUGUGAUCAAGAAGCUUUGGUUUAGAUCAUAUCCUAAUACAGUCUCAAAAGGUGUGCCCAUGGCUGGCACUCAGGAUGAAGGUUAGCACACAGCAAACAACAUCACUCAUUGUGGUCACCAUCUCUGUAUUGUUGCUCUAUUUGUCUCAGGUUUCUCUUCUGAUUGAUAACCAAUGAGAAAUAAGUACAACCUAGAUUCACAUUUUGAAACAAGCACAGGGAAAAACAAACUUAGGGGAAAAUCUACUGCUGUUUCAAAAGAAUUAGCUUGGGCCUGGCGAAACCUCUGAGCUGAUGCAAAUUAUUGCAAUAUCUGCCCUAAGCCAGUCCUGGUGAGCUCUACGACAUACUGUGCUCUUACAGACUUCUCUGGGUUUUUCAGAAGACAGAAGCAGACAAAGUAGACAGCUUGUACAUGGACACUUCUGUUCUGUGAUUUACUUUAUACCCUUUUGCUCAUGCUCAUGAUGCAGUUUCACCUCAGCUAUCAAAGGAGCAAGGCUCUUCCUGGGAAGAUCUUCCUUACGUCAGACCAUCACAGCCUGAGCUCAGUUGUGAAGGCUCAAGUGCCAGUGUGUUUGGGCCGUGUGAUACAUGCAACUUCUUCGUGUGAAGUCAAGCAGGAAAAUCAAGAAGAGAUGGUAUCGUGAUCUCAGGGGCUUGUCUGAGAUGGUAAUGCCAAAGAUUUUAGAGGAAGUUACUCAAUCUGACCCAAAGUGUCUUAAAGCUACUCGUAUAAUUGAAUGGAUCUCCCUUGAGCAGAUGCCUCAGGAGCCCUUUCCAUAGCCAAUAAGAAGGCUAUAGCUGAGAGAAGUAAUUGGAUGUCACAACAAUCAAAAUUCAUGAUUAUCUUGAAACCUCUCAGGAAUUGGGGCAGCCAGUAUCACUUUAAAUACUCCUACAAUAGAUUCAAAUUAUGCCAUCCUGAGCUAGUAUCAUGGUCCUACCCUCUAAGGCAUAUCAUGCUGCUGCAUGACCUAGGCAGUGGCUGAUCUCUCUUCUGAGUCAGCUGAAUGCUAAUUAUAUUCUAUUAUAUUUUAAAGAAAAACCCAAGAGUGAAGUUACACAAGGUCAGUUCUUUGCAGGCAGUAACCUCCGCAAAGGAAGCAAAAAGGGACUCGAACAAAGGCUGCUGUUAUGCCAUACCAACCCACAGGGAUGUCCAGGUGCAGGAGGGAGCACAUUGUGUAAACAAAGCAGUGUUGUGCCCCUCUUCAGCACAGUUCUCCAGAACUGCAAAAUUACCCAGAGCCGCAGGGCUCUAGAUGAGUGACUUACUAAAGGUAAAACAGGUCGAGACAGAACCCUGAUCUCUCCUCUUCUAAGAUUUAGCUCUUGAACCUGAACCAAACCAUACCAAAGUUAAAGGAGAAUUCCUAUUUCUUGUAGUGAUUUUCAGAGAAAGUCCUCAAACCUCAGGGCUACCUGAUAGGAAGAUGUGGGUGCCUUGCAGUAUGAAACCUUGAGCUGCAUGGGAUUUACCUGAGUAGGAAGAAAGAGUGUUCCCACUCCUGAUUCUGUAGAUAUAAAUCUCAUUCACCCACUGCUGGUUUUAUGCACAAUCGCUCCUCAGUGGCUCAAGCAGAACAAUGCAGCUGGCAAUAGAUUUCAUUUUAUAUCUUGCUUGGAAAAAAAAACAUAUGCAAGAACAUCUGGAGAGCAUGCCCUCCUCCCCCUGGACAUAAAAGAAUGACAGAGAUGGUGGCAGAACUGCUCAGAGGCUUGGCAGCACCCCACAGAAUAUCUCAUGUUGUCACACUCAUUUGUCACACUGAGCAACUGGAUUCUUUCUCAGUAGGCUACAUAGGACAGCAACUGUAAUAUCCUGGCACUUGUAGUGAAAUAUACACUAAAAGCUGAGGGCACUCAGUACAGAGAAGUCUCCACCUAUUUCUGGCAAUCACCUUCAAUACUGUGCAACAACUGCAUUCAAAGCACCUUUGUGCCUGAGCACUCCCUACACACAAGCAGGAAUAAGAUAGCGGAAAAAGAAUCCACUUUCUUCAUCCUCUCCGUAUAUUAUUGGCUUGACUAUAUUUCUGUGUAGUAAGAGUUGUUCCCCACAGUCUCAAAGACACUUAAAAGCCAACUGCUGCAAGCCCAUUCCUUCCCUCCCCCAACACCUCCUCCCAGGGGCUACACUACACUCUCCUGCUUGGUUUUCUCUAGCUCCGUUAUGAAGAUUUCAAGCAAUAAAAAGAAAUUGUGUUGAUAUACUGCAUACUGAAGCUUCAGACCUUUUCUUCAGCAAUUACAGCCUGCAAUGCCAUCAAAGACUACUCCCAUCUCCAAACUUGUGUUACUGGAGCAUGGAAAUAAUUGGCUACAAAGAUUCCUCUUGGGGAUACUGAGCAGAGAUGUGCAACGCCUUGGAAAAAAAAGGUUCCUUACGAUGCUGUCAGACAAAUAUCUCAUUACUUCUUUACCUCUGACUUUUUGGGAGUGUAUGGCUUAGCUCCAAAUGAAAGAGCAGAUUUAUUUUUAAAGCAUGCAACAUUAGUGUGCACUGAAAUAAACUCACCAGAACAAUCAGUGCUCUUGUUUCAGGGAACGCGCUCGCAAAUGGAACAAGAGGUGCUGAUAUGACUUACUGCCAGGCUCCACACACUGAAAGGAUCCUAGCUGGAUUUACACAUGCAGUGUGCAGCAUCCAGCAUUCAAAAUAGUUGGUCAGCAUUUGCCUUUGGAAAUGUUUUUCAUCACAGCACUCCGCUGAUGUGUUCUUUCUGUCUAGAUUCCCCAGUUUGGGUCUGACAAACAAGCACAGUGCUUCCAUUUGCUUGUUUCAUUUUCUUUAAAAAUAACGUUCACAUGAAUCUGAAAAAUCUUCCUAUUAAAUAUGUAUAUACACUUCUCAGCUUGACAGAAAAAUAAUCAGUCCCAUUAAAAUCUACAUUGUGUGUCCUAUGCUGACAUAUUUGAAAGGCAGAACUAAAAUGGUUAUUGGAAAAUGCAGAUGCGUUGCAUUCGUGAACAUAUCCUUUUUCCUUUAAGUUUUGUGGAAGUUUUCCCUAUAGAUCCACCCUUUUUAAAUUCUGCCUAGAAAAAAAAAAGACAACAACAAAAACAUCUGCUGAGCAUUGAGAAAAAUGUCGACAAACCCCAAAAUUGCUGUGUGACAGACUUGAUAGCAAGACUGAUAACAAGAAAUGUGUGCAGGAACAUUAGCUACCUGGCAACUAUGUCAAAGGCCUGACUGAAGACAACUCAUAGCAGGAAUCUUCAAAGGCUCUGCAGGAUACAAGACAGCUGCUGGAAGACAAGGAGGAUAUACACUCCAGCUCCUUUUCAAUCUGUUUUUCUUCUGCUUUGAAUUUGAAUCAGGACAUGAAUUGGAAUAGCAACUAUUAGGACAGUUUGGCAUUUCUAAGGAAAAAUUUCCAAUGAAGUAAGCCACCUCAGUUUUAUUGACAGUAGUGGAGAUAAGCUAGUUGUAUUCUUGAACUUGGGUUGGAGGCAACAGACCAGGUACCUGCUCUGGUAGUGCUCACAAAGACCAGAGCUCUCCUCUUAAAUCUUGUAUGUAAAAUCCUAAGGCAUGGCUAAAUACUACUGAGAAUUACUGGGGCUUCAUAAGAACAAUUUCCCCCCAUUUUAUGACCUUCUGUCUCACCCUACACUACUGGAUCUGACGUCAGCAUCACUUCUGUGUAGCAUUUAUUUUACAAAGCAAAUAUUAGGACUCAUAUUUCUUGCUAAAGUUCAUCACCAUGGGAAGAAGGUCAGCUAGGUAAACUGGUGUGUGUGUGCAUAUGCCAUUACUUUGCACAGUUGCCUUUGCAGAUGUAACUUACUCUGAACAAUGGUUCUUACUGCAAGGUACAUAUGAGAUGUACUGAAUCUUCCCUGCCCUAUUAGGAUAGAAAGAAAAGAAUGUAAUGUAUAGCAAGCAGAUACUGGCAGGUGUUAGGAAGGCUUGCCUAGUGACGAAGACAGUGACAUUCUGUAGUAGGAGGCAGGAACUGGAGGAUGGCCUUCAUUGCCCCUGUUGUUUAGCAAAGACGGGUCAGAGGUGAGAGCGGAGCAACUCAUCCUUUCUCAGAUGAGGGAUGGAAAACCUCCCAGAUCCUUUGCAGCAUUACUUCCUCUGAGACUACGGUGGCUGUAAGUCUUACAGCAGUGUUUUGGUGUUCACUGAUCUGGAAUAAGCACUAAUACAAACACAUAGCAAAGAGCUUUGAUUGCUUGAUUGCCUUUAAUCUCUUCCUAAUUAUCGGUCUCCCUCAGCCAGUGAAUGUGUUUUACAGUGUGUGAUGGGCCCGGCCAGGUUUGGCGUGCUGAAUACCCAGCAGAGACAUCAGGGCUGUAAAGCCCCGUUGUUUUCCAAAUAUCAAGGAGUUCUGAGGCACCAAACACGUCAGUAUUGUUCAUCAGUGGGAAGAUUCCCAAGGACAUGUUUCUAUGCACACUUAAUGACAUGAUGAUCUUCAACCACUAAAAAUAACCUAGAAUUUCUGUUUCUUUCAGCAACCCGGGGUUCCACCGCAACCCAUCUAUCACAGAAGUGUGAAAAUUCAUACGUUACACAUCCCAGAACAGGACCGGUGUUCAUUCCCUCUUUAACCAUGAGUCCUUGUUGUCUUAAUCCCUGGUGCCUAUUUGUAGACCUUGUACCUAUUCGUGGAUAAAAGCAUGACUGUUUAUUUAUAGUGAACUUUUUCCAAAGAGUUUUAUUUUAAAGCCUGACUAAUCUUUGCUGCGCCAUGGACUAGGCUGAUCUCUAGGUAAAUCUUAGCUAAGAUUGGUGGUGAGCUGCACAAAGACACCGACUACGUUUUCAAUUAAUCCUCUUUUAUAUCCACCCUCAGAAGAAGGUAAGGAAGGCACAUAAGGAGCCAGAAGUCAUGUAAUGCUUCUGUGGAACUACAGUGCAGCCUGGAAAGCUGGGGAAAGCCACAAGCAUUUCAUUGUCUCCUGUUUCUUCCCAUGGUAUUUUUAGCAGCUCUGCAACAUAUGGAUUUAUCUGCUCUGCCUGCAAUUAUCCACUGCAUCUCAGAGACAGGAAAAACAUACAUCUGCUUGCUCAGAUUUUCUUACUUUUAUCUUUGCCUCUCCAGCCAGGCUGUUGGGAAAAAAAAAGAGAAGGCCUAUGGGAGAAACACGUAUCAGUCUAUGGAAUGGUGGAGUUUUAGAUGGCUCUUCUCUGUCCUUGACCUUGCAGCUGCUAAAACAGUGUCCCCUUGCCUUGUAGUGGUGAUAUUGGCUAUUGCAGGUGCUGGGGAGGAGCUAGAAGAAAGGUGAGGGUCACCUGGCCAUUGUGCAGUGAACAGGUCGGAACUGUUCAGUGCCAGGGAGGUCCCAAAGGCAGAAAUGCCUCCUCAGAACCCCACCACAGCAGCCAUGUGAGUAUGGGGAGGGCCAUGGUGAGGGCACACUGCACACUCCCUGUGUCCUGAAGUGAAAACCUAAGCCUUGGAUUAACCCUGGCUGAGUAGAGGUUGAGCACCAAAUAUGUUUUCCUAAUCCAUGCUGGAGAAAUGGGCACUUGGAAAAUGGGGGAGCUCUGACAAGAACUUCCCAUUUCACUUUCCCAAUUUCAGUCUCAAGCCCAGACCUCUGGGCAUUAGCUCCCUGUUGUGCUCUGCUCUGCACACAGUGUGAACACAGUCUUCAUUUUUCCAAGUAGGGGCUGCUUAUGAGCAGACACUGCAAAAUCAAGUUUGGCAUCUUCUGCCCCAAGCUUAAAUUAGUCUUCCUCUCCUUUCCCUGUUCUGGAGGGAAGAAAAGGAAUACAAGUAUAUAAAACCACUGGAGACCACAUUUUAGUGAAAUGAUAGUUAGAUGUACUAUUCAGCUCGAGAUGUUUAUUGAAUGUCUGAACAGGAGAACACUUCAUAAAUACAAAUAAACGUCUCUAGAAAUAUUUGAAUUAAUUUUAUAAACAAGGCUCUGGCUGUAGCAUCUUGCUCCUUUUGUGGGGUGAAUUUGAGACUUUACAUCCCCUGCCCAACGGCCCCAACACCCUUGUGGGAGAAAUCCAGCAAGCAGGGCAGGACUCAGCACUGCCGACCCACAGAGCCCUGUGCCACCCACUGUCCUGGGGGGUCACUAGGCCUCUGCAGGCUGAAUGACAAGAAGUAGGUGUCAGGGAAGGGUGGGGAAUAGCAAAGAGCAGCACUGCUUUUGCUACCAUCAGAACUCUUGGGGCGUGUGGUAAUUCUCUAUUUUUGUCUCAGCCAUGAAGCAAUCAAUGACUGUGUCCAAAUCAGCAUGCUGAGCACAUCAGAGUUCGGGGCCUUUCCCACUCACCAGCACACAGUUGCAUUAGCCAGCCUUCAGGAGGCCUGUUACAUCCUGCCCUGAGGGAUGAAUGGUAACAAGCACAGAGCAGGCAGAAAUUACGUAGUAUUCCUAAGCCAUGAGGAUUUUCAUGAAAGCUUACUUCUUUUUUUUUGCUUUUUCUUUGUUUUUCUUUCUUUCCAUUUUUUUUCCCCAUUUAAUUUGUAAUGCUUGUUUUUUUUCAGUCACAAGGAAGAAGAAGUUGGCCUUGAAUAUUCCUGAAUCAUGAUUCCAUCUGAGUUUACUGAAUAGCCAUAUCUGCCAAGCAGAGACCGCCUGCUCAUGCUAUAGCCCUGCUCCACAGGCCAGGCCUAUCCCUGCCCAUCCCUGCAGCCUGGAUGUUUUCAGUGGAUUACAUUUCAGGAUUGCUCCCUGGCUGGAGUAAAUACCCACCCCUUCCCACUUCCCACCACUCACUGCACUCUACACCAGGAAGAAAUAUUUUCUUUCCUGCUAAAGAGCAUCUUUUGUACAGCGGUGCAGAUGACAGAGUCAUAGAAUCCUAAAAUCACCCAAGUUGGAAGGAAUCCAUAAGUAUCAAGUCCAACUCUUGAUGAAAAAAUGGGAGACAAGCAGUUGUCCUCCCUGCUGCUAGGCACACUGAGUAUGCUGUGCUUCCUGGUGGAAGCUCUCAAGACCAGAGGACAACAGGACACCGCUGCAGAAAAAGAAAGACUGGGUGUUCUUAUUCUCCAUUAGUGCCUUUGGACCUCCCUCCUCUCCAAGAAAGCUCUAAUCCAGGUGCCUAGUAAGUUGUCAGCCCAAUUCCCUGGGAAAGCAGGCUGUGUGCCUUGAGAUAUGCUGGAAUGAUUUGUCCAGUCUGUCCAUUAAAGGUUUAAGGAACUUACCUUCCAUUAAAACCCCUUACAAUUUAUGCAACAGUCUAAUGAAUCUUGCCAUUAAUAUAUAUAUAUAUAUUAUACAUAUAUAUAUAUAUAUAUGCCAUUAAUAUAUAUAUUGGAUUUUUUUUUUUCCAGUAAAUUCAAGCUCAUUUUCCCCCUUUUUUUAUCUGAAUAUUCCCAACUGUAUCUCACAGGGACCAGGCAAAUUAAUUUCCUUCCUUUCCUGAUGGUACCUACACUGGUCCCAACCUACAGCAGUGCAUCUCAGCUCUUCCUUACAACUUCCACCAAAAUCACAGCUUUUCCUUCCCAUGGAAAUAAAGGCAAAGGCUGGUGCUGCUUUUUGUUCCUAUUUCAGUGGCAUUGCACAGAAAACGUACUUCUAACAAAAACCUGACAAAAAGCAAGACUCUGUGCUUUGAGCAUUACGUUUCUCAAGAAGCCUGCUGUGCUGCUGCUCAUUUGGGGGCAGUUGCUUGGCCCAACCUGCUCCCAGCUUUUCUGCUUGAUCGAAGUCCACGAUCCCCUCCAAAAUGGGAUCAUACGUUUACUUUUACAAAGCUGCAGAGAAGCACAAUCUGGCUGGAACUGCUGCCAAAAAAAGCUGCCUCCUCUUCAGUUUACUGCUUUUCCCAGAAAUGAUCAAGGCACCUGCCAGGUGUGCCAGCAAAGCAAGGCACCCCACAGCUCUGAUUUCCUGGCUUUAUCUUUUUCCAGUGGACUCAUUAAGAGACUGUGAUGGACAGCCAGACAGAUACUGCUCACGCCUGCUUGGCUGAUGGGGUUAUAGUAUCUGCCCUAGACCAUCAGCUUUGCUUUUCAAACCCUGCACAUGAAACCUGCCUUUUGUCUUAUUCCUGCACAUCAAAGCCUAGCUGGAGCGUGAAGAGAAGAAGAGAAAGCUGUGGAAAAUUGGCAUUAACAAAGGCAAGCAGAAGGUCAAGCCUCUGCUGAUACAAAUGGACAGAACUGCACAGAAGUCAGCAGAGUGAUGACCACUGAACACGAGCAGAAAAUAAAUCUCACUGCCUGCAACGUCUCCUGCCUGAGGGAAAGUCGCAAUAAAUACUCUUCAUUUC